rnacentral:sRNA from 1 species
GUUUUUGCCCCACUUCCGCUCUCUGGCCGGGCUUGGGCUGCGUGGAGAAUACUUUUUGCGAUGCCUACUGGAGACUUUGAUUCGAAGCCCAGUUGGGCCGACCAGGUGGAGGAGGAGGGGGAAGACGGUAAGUGUACCCGGUCGCCCGGGGUAUUCGCGGCCAGGCCCGAGCCGGGUGACUGCCGCCUGCUUCCAUCUCCCAGUCUGGCACCGUGUACCCCGUCACGGCCUGCCCCUGCCCCGCGCCAUCCUCCUUGGGACCCGCCUGUUGCCAACUCCAGGUGUUCCCCGGCAGGUCCCUCUUCCUCCCAUGCCACUGCCGAAGUCCUCCCAGCUGUUCCCCUCCUCCAGGGAGGAAGUUGUAAUCUCCCGUCUCCUGUUUCUCUACUGGCGCCUGGUUGGCUUCAUGGCCUGGCACCCACCUUCCUACGAGGGAUCCCCCAUCCUUGCCACUCCGAGUCCCCAUAGGGCCAUCCCAGUGCGCUGCCUGGCCAGCCCUUUGCCCUUGGCCUGCCUUUCUCCGCUCUUGCUGUAGGCGUCAUCCCAAAAGCCCUUCCAUCGCAGCUGGGGAGCUCCUGCCCCUGGAGCUGACCCCUCCUCCCUACGCUGCCUCUUGCAGACAAAUGUGUCACCAGCGAGCUCCUCACGGGGAUCCCUCUGGCCACAGGUGACACCAGCCCAGAGCCAGAGCUACUGCCGGGAGGUGAGUGAGGAUGGCCACUCCGUGUCCGGGCUGCCUCUCCCUCCAGCCCUGCCGCUCCUGAUCCCCAUGACCCAGGGCUCAGUCCUUCUCUGUUUUUCCCCUUCUCCCAGCUCCACUGCCGCCUCCCAAGGAGGUCAUCAACGGAAACAUAAAGACAGUGACAGAGUACAAGAUAGAUGA